AGGCACAUGGGGAGAGGCAGAGCGCAUGAGCAGGUAAACCACCUACAAACAUGGCGAACUACCUGGCAGCGACUGCAACGCAAACUGUUCAGCAGAUUGGAAAUUCAGGACAUUUCCUGUAUAGUUCAGACACUGAGUUGUUCAGCGACCUCUUCAAACAGAUUUCGCCAGUCCCUGUCGAAGACGCCUUUUGAAGCCACCCGAUGAGUCCAGUCACCAGCUGUUUCUGAAACAGUCAUGCCGUACAUGGAAAAGCCGAAGUCCGUGACGGAUGCCUACCUAAGAGAGCUUGUCCCAAACAGCCUGAGACCACCUGCGCUGAUUUCCUCAGGGUACCUUCAAGCCAUUGCACAGGCAUUGCUGCAGGACACCGUUGUCCGGGCAACCACAGAACCACAUGAAUCAGCCUCACUUACCGAACCUUUGGGACACUGAUAAUCACCGGUAAGUCUUUAUGGUGUCCUGGGAGCAGGUGGUGCCCGUCCCGUCUAAGUUAAAACAUGGUGGUUCGGUCACCAAAAAGUUCUGGGCCUGCACACUGUCCAGCUCAAUGAGAAUACAGUAAUAAAUGUACUGUUUUGUCAGGAAUUUGCAGUUUUCAGCAAAAAACCCCCAAAACACUAGCUGUGUGCAGAGCUGGAUAACUCCUAUGUAUAUUUUAAUAGCAGAAAUUAAAAAGUAGGAAUGCAUUAAUCUUUUAGAAAUGGAGAACUUUUGACCGAAUGGCUGGAAGAGCAUGUUAGUCUUUCGUAAAAGAGCUUCCGGCUUGAUUAAUACUCGCCCCACAUAGGACUAGGGGCAGUGCUGUUCCAGGAAAAUAUCCAGAGGGGUUUUUACAAUGGCGAACCGGUCUUGUAGGAGUCGGAGGCCCCAACGCGCCAGUCUUUGCCGUGCCGCACGCGAGGCGUUUGGAGCUGCUCAAUGCAAUUAGGCGGGAGCUGGUUUUGGCCAGACCCCCCUCCUCGUGUCCCUUUUAGCCCCUGGGCAAACACCUGUUGCAGGCCAGUCCGUCAGCCUCCUGUGAAGUCCCUGCCGUUCUCCACAGAGGCUCCUUAGCAUGGCGCUAACAGUCGGCCCCUUUAAUUAAAGGACCCCCUCUGCUUUAAGGCUGCAGCCAGCUACCCCUCACGCUCCCCCUCCCCAAGCCAAAAGGCACCCCAGGUCCAACACCCACUCUGAGCCGGUCACUGCACGGCUAUUGCAGCGACAUGGGCCAGUUCUGCAAUAUUUAAAUGAGCAGCUGUCCGAAUCUUAUAUUUUCCUCGUUCUUGCAUCAACCAUUAUGAGGGCAUCUCAAAGGUAAAACAUAUGACAGGGAGAGGACAUGUUUUAGGAAUUUUUCCUUUUAUUCAUAAUUUCUGCGCUCGCAGCUGUGGCCUGAAGCUGCCGAUUUGGCCCACAGUUCAAUUAAAAUGUGUAGCCUUUGUCUGCCGCUUCCCAGGCUGCCCUCGUGAGCUACUAACUCUCCAGUUGGGUAGAGUUUCCACAUUUCGGCAAGAAUAAAAGAGAGCACAGUGAUCUGUCCAACUGGAAUCUGCUUCUGAAAAAAGAAGGGAGGGGGAUGGGGGGGGUUACAACAUAAAGAAGGCUAACAAGAAGUCUAUUUCAAUCCAGCUGCAAAAUGUAUAACUGAAGCUUACAUGUGUUAACAACACACCUGAAAAUACUAACCCUAAAUAUUGAAGAGUCUUAAUAGCUAAUUAAUACUUAAUAGCUGUCCCAUAAAAUUUUAUUUUCGUUGUUAAUGGUAAUUACAAUCCAUCUGUCUUCGUACUGCUUAUCCCGGCAGCCUGGAGCCUAGAUAACAACAAAAACAAUAAUGAUAAUACUAAUAUUGACGAUGAUGUGUGAGAGACAAAACAUAAGAGUUUACAAAAAAAAAAAAAAAAUUAAAAAAAACAUCAAGAAUGUUUUUCCGGGAGAAGAAACAUGGUAGAGAGUGACUUCAGGGCCAAGUUCAUAACGGGACGUUUUGAAUCACUGCGCUAUUUAAUCCCUGUGUCCUGCUGCAGUCACGUGCUCUCUGCAAGCAUGCGACCUGGAAAAAACGAAUGUAAUGCGUAAAAAUCAAACCAGCUCACAGCACACGGGCACAAGGCAUUUGCUGAGUGAUCACGGUCUGAAGAAGCGUAUUGUGCGGGACUAAAAGGCUGACACAUAAUACGGGAGCCCGUUUGAAUUGCGGGGAAUUCGCGGGUGUGUACAGACUUUACGAAAGGAAUCUGACUGAAAUGGAAAUGCCAGUAGCUUCUAAUGCCCUUGUGGUUUCUGUUGUGCUGGAAGUUUAAAGACGUUGGUGUCUUUUUAAUGGACUUCGGAAGCUGUUAAUAAAAAAGGCACAUUGUGAUCUAACCUUGCCACCACCGCUAAUGCGGUUGCAAUGGCGAUUAGCGUGAAGUUCAGGUUCCUGCCACUAGGUGUCGCUAAGCCAUCUGGUACCUCUAUUCUUAUUACCGAUUUCUUCCUAUUUACUCACAAGCGUUGCCUCCACAGAUUUAUUGCCGCAGAGUUCACUGGUUCCUCUUCUAAAGAGGACACUUUUUUUAAAAAUAAAGCUGCGCGUUUCUAUAUUUUAUGCCUCUGGGCCACUUUGUAAGUGUUUAUUCGAUUAUCAAUCCAUCAUGACGAAGAGCGAAGUUUAAAAAUAUUUUUUCUUAUAUAUGCACAUUGUUCAAGUGUAACGUUUCCCAUGAGAUAAAUCUAACGUGACAAAAGCUGAUAUCGAUCGUCCUCAAAUUUUAUGAAAUAAACAUUUUUUUUUUAGGGAAUGACACACAAGAAACCCCCCAAGCCUGUUCGGCUCUCCUACUUGUCACCUUUGACAGAAGACACCACCCCUCGGCCUUAAAUGAGGCAGAGGGACAUUUAGGUGCCUCCCACCUCCAGGUUCAGGCCAGCUUCCAGGCUGGGUUUUAGUGCCAUGCUGUCGGCGCCCGCGUGAGCAUGCUGCCGGAACAUCUGCUGUCGGUUUGGCCCGAGGUUCGUCAAUUCAGAGGCAUGUGCAACGUACCGCCCUCUGAGGGGCAUUUUGCUGAAGCGCGCCGGCAGAUCGGCCCAAUUCUCCCCUCGGUCGCUAUCCCGUCCUUAGCGCCAUUUAGCCUAAUAGGGCUUCAGUGAAUGAUCGGCUUUCAGGCAUUUUGCUAGCAGGAGUAGGACCCGGUGCCUGGCAAAGGAAAGU